UGACCGCCCGGUUUCUGCGCGAAAACGGUGCCAAGGCCAUACGGACAGCCGGGUCAAAUGCCGA
rnacentral:sRNA from 12 species